AUUGUUUGGAGGUUAAUAAAGCAAGUUCCACACAUAAUAUCCUCUGAGCCUCACCAAAAACAAAAACAAAAGACCAACCUGGGAGGAGAUUCAGAAAUACAGGUACAAGCAGUGGGGUCUCCAAACUGCACCAGGAGUGUGAGCAAUGAGG